UGGCUUAUCUUUUUCCCUUGCC
rnacentral:siRNA from 1 species